GAUGAACGCUGGCGGCGUGCCUAAUACAUGCAAGUCGAGCGAACAGACGAGGAGCUUGCUCCUCUGACGUUAGCGGCGGACGGGUGAGUAACACGUGGAUAACCUACCUAUAAGACUGGGAUAACUUCGGGAAACCGGAGCUAAUACCGGAUAAUAUAUUGAACCGCAUGGUUCAAUAGUGAAAGACGGUUUUGCUGUCACUUAUAGAUGGAUCCGCGCCGCAUUAGCUAGUUGGUAAGGUAACGACUUACCAAGGCGACGAUGCGUAGCCGACCUGAGAGGGUGAUCGGCCACACUGGAACUGAGACACGGUCCAGACUCCUACGGGAGGCAGCAGUAGGGAAUCUUCCGCAAUGGGCGAAAGCCUGACGGAGCAACGCCGCGUGAGUGAUGAAGGUCUUCGGAUCGUAAAACUCUGUUAUUAGGGAAGAACAAAUGUGUAAGUAACUAUGCACGUCUUGACGGUACCUAAUCAGAAAGCCACGGCUAACUACGUG
rnacentral:rRNA from 1 species